rnacentral:rRNA from 1 species
UAGGGAAUCUUCCGCAAUGGGCGAAAGCCUGACGGAGCAACGCCGCGUGAGUGAUGAAGGUCUUCGGAUCGUAAAACUCUGUUAUUAGGGAAGAACAAAUGUGUAAGUAACUAUGCACGUCUUGACGGUACCUAAUCAGAAAGCCACGGCUAACUACGUGCCAGCAGCCGCGGUAAUACGUAGGUGGCAAGCGUUAUCCGGAAUUAUUGGGCGUAAAGCGCGCGUAGGCGGUUUUUUAAGUCUGAUGUGAAAGCCCACGGCUCAACCGUGGAGGGUGAUUGGAAACUGGAAAACUUGAGUGCAGAAGAGGAAAGUGGAAUGCCAUGUGUAGCGGUGAAAUGCGCAGAGAUAUGGAGGAACACCAGUGGCGAAGGCGACUUGCUGGUCUGUAACUGACGCUGAUGUGCGAAAGCGUGGGGAUCAAACAGG